rnacentral:rRNA from 1 species
GAUGAACGCUGGCGGCGUGCCUAAUACAUGCAAGUCGAGCGAACGGACGAGAAGCUUGCUUCUCUGAUGUUAGCGGCGGACGGGUGAGUAACACAUGGAUAACCUACCCAUAAGACUGGGAUAACUUCGGGAAACCGGAGCUAAUACCGGAUAAUAUUUUGAACCGCAUGGUUCAAAAGUGAAAGACGGUCUUGCUGUCACUUAUAGAUGGAUCCGCGCUGCAUUAGCUAGUUGGUAAGGUAACGGCUUACCAAGGCAACGAUGCAUAGCCGACCUGAGAGGGUGAUCGGCCACACUGGAACUGAGACACGGUCCAGACUCCUACGGGAGGCAGCAGUAGGGAAUCUUCCGCAAUGGGCGAAAGCCUGACGGAGCAACGCCGCGUGAGUGAUGAAGGUCUUCGGAUCGUAAAACUCUGUUAUUAGGGAAGAACAUAUGUGUAAGUAACUGUGCACAUCUUGACGGUACCUAAUCAGAAAGCCACGGCUAACUACGUG